GACGAACGCUGGCGGCGUGCUUAACACAUGCAAGUCGAACGGAAAGGCCCUGCUUUUGUGGGGUGCUCGAGUGGCGAACGAGUGAGUAACAAGUGAGUAACCUGCCCUUGACUUUGGGAUAACUUCAGGAAACUGGGGCUAAUACCGGAUAGGAGCUCCUGCUGCAUGGUGGGGGUUGGAAAGUUUCGGCGGUUGGGGAUGGACUCGCGGCUUGUCAGCUUGUUGGUGGGGUAGUGGCUUACGAAGGCUUUGACGGGUAGCCGGCCGGAGCGGGUGACCGGCCAAAUUGGGACGGGGAUACGGCCCAGACUCCUACGGGAGGCAGCAGUGGGGAAUAUUGCACAAGGGGCGGAAGCCUGAUGCAGCAACGCCGCGUGCGGGAUGACGGCCUUCGGGUUGUAAACCGCUUUCGCCUGUGACGAAGCGUGAGUGACGGUAAUGGGUAAAGAAGCACCGGCUAACUACGUG
rnacentral:rRNA from 1 species